rnacentral:rRNA from 1 species
AGCGAACGCUGGCGGCAGGCCUAACACUUGCAAGUCGAACGAACUCUUCGGAGUUAGUGGCGGACGGGUGAGUAACACGCGGGAACGUGCCUUUAGGUUCGGAAUAACUCAGGGAAACUUGUGCUAAUACCGAAUGUGCCCUUCGGGGGAAAGAUUUAUCGCCUUUAGAGCGGCCCGCGUCUGAUUAGCUAGUUGGUGAGGUAACGGCUCACCAAGGCGACGAUCAGUAGCUGGUCUGAGAGGAUGGCCAGCCACACUGGGACUGAGACACGGCCCAGACGCCUACGGGAGGCAGCAGUGGGGAAUCUUGCGCAAUGGGCGAAAGCCUGACGCAGCCAUGCCGCGUGAAUGAUGAAGGUCUUAGGAUUGUAAAAUUCUUUCACCGGGGACGAUAAUGACGGUACCCGGAGAAGAAGCCCCGGCUAACUUCGUGCCAGCCGCCGCAGUAA